AUUGAACGCUGGCGGCAGGCCUAACACAUGCAAGUCGAACGAGUGGCGGACGGGUGAGUAAUGUCUGGGAAACUGCCUGAUGGAGGGGGAUAACUACUGGAAACGGUAGCUAAUACCGCAUACCAUCAGAUUUGCCCAGAUGGGAUUAGCUAGUUGGUGGGGUAACGGCUCACCAAGGCGACGAUCCCUAGCUGUUCUGAGAGGAUGACCAGCAACACGGGAACUGAGAAACGGUCCAGACUCUUACGGGUGGCAGCAGUGGGGAAUAUUGCACAGUGGGCGAAAUCUUGCGGCAGCCAUGCCGCGUUGAUGAAGAAGGCCUUCGGGUUUAAAAGUACUUUAAGCGGGGAGGCGUUACCCGAAGAAGAAGCACCGGCUAACUCCGUGCCAGCAGCCGCGGUAAUAC
rnacentral:rRNA from 1 species